GGAGACAAUCUGGUGUGACAUCUGUCACGGGUUGAUCUGCUGGCUGGGUGGUGUCCCCUUCCUCCCUCACUCUCCAUGUGAGUCCCUCCCUCACUGCCGAGCACAUGGUGGAAGAGGAGACCUUCUCCUGCAGAGGAGGACCAUUCUUCUGUCAAAGGUACUUGAGUAGCUACACUCCUCUGCCAGAACCUCCAAGCAAGUCCUCAAGGUCCAAACUGUAGCUGAAGACAAGUUCACCCUAGACACUUUUAUCAAUCAUGGAGAU
ensembl:misc_RNA 7SK 7SK RNA